rnacentral:rRNA from 1 species
UCCGCUGAGGAUGGCUUUUCUCCAGUGUAAGGAGCUGGAGGAAUAAGGAGAGGGCAAGCCUGGUGUCAGCCGCCGCGGUAAUACCAGCUCUCCGAGUGGUAGGGACGAUUAUUGGGCUUAAAGCGUCCGUAGCCGGCUCAGCAAGUCUUCCGUUAAAUCCAGCGAUUCAAUCGUUGGACUGCGGUAGAUACUGUUGGGCUAGGGGACGGGAGAGGCCGACGGUAUUUCCAGAGUAGGGGCGAAAUCCUGUAAUUCUGGGAGGACCACCAGUGGCGAAGGCUGUCGG